rnacentral:rRNA from 1 species
CGGGUGAGUAACACGUGAGUAACCUGCCCUUAACUCUGGGAUAAGCCUUGGAAACGGGGUCUAAUACUGGAUAUUGACUUUACCUCGCAUGGGGUUUGGUUGAAAGAUUUAUUGGUUUUGGAUGGACUCGCGGCCUAUCAGCUUGUUGGUGAGGUAAUGGCUCACCAAGGCGACGACGGGUAGCCGGCCUGAGAGGGUGACCGGCCACACUGGGACUGAGACACGGCCCAGACUCCUACGGGAGGCAGCAGUGGGGAAUAUUGCACAAUGGGCGAAAGCCUGAUGCAGCGACGCCGCGUGAGGGAUGACGGCCUUCGGGUUGUAAACCUCUUUCAGUAGGGAACAAGGCCAGCAUUUUUGUUGGUUGAGGGUACUUGCAGAAGAAGCGCCGGCUAACUACGUGCCAGCAGCCGCGGUAAUACGUAGGGCGCAAGCGUUAUCCGGAAUUAUUGGGCGUAAAGAGCUCGUAGGCGGUUUGUCGCGUCUGCCGUGAAAGUCCGGGGCUCAACCCCGGAUCUGCGGUGGGUACGGGCAGACUAGAGUGAUGUAGGGG